rnacentral:lncRNA from 1 species
UGUGUAAGCUCGGGUGCUCGCAGUUAUGUGCCGAUUACAACAUUGUUCUCUGUGGGAUAUCUUUCCUACUGAUUUCCUUUCUUUGAUGGUUGUGGAUUUACAUUUUGUGGUUUGGUGGUGGGUGGAACCGUUUUCUUUUCCGUUUCGGAGGCUCUAUUUGGUUGACGUUCUGGUGGCUGCAAGAGGUGUUCGUUCAAGGUCAGAGGAUUUGACG